GUAACCUGCCUCAAAGAGGGGGAUAGCCUCCCGAAAGGGAGAUUAAUACCGCAUAAGACCUGAAUUCGCAUGAAUUCGGGAUAAAAGGAGAAAUCCGCUUUGAGAUGGACCCGCGGCGCAUUAGCUAGUUGGUGGGGUAGAAGCUUACCAAGGCAACGAUGCGUAGCCGACCUGAGAGGGUGAUCGGCCACAUUGGAACUGAGAUACGGUCCAGACUCCUACGGGAGGCAGCAGUGGGGAAUAUUGCACAAUGGGCGAAAGCCUGAUGCAGCAACGCCGCGUGAGUGAUGAAGGUCUUCGGAUUGUAAAGCUCUGUCUUCUGGGACGAUAAUGACGGUACCAGAGGAGGAAGCCACGGCUAACUACGUGCCAGCAGCCGCGGUAAUACGUAGGAGGCGAGCGUUGUCCGGAUUUACUGGGCGUAAAGGGUGCGUAGGCGGAUGUUUAAGUGAUAUGUGAAAUACCCGGGCUUAACCUGGGUGCUGCAUUUCAAACUGGAUAUCUGGAGUGCAGGAGAGGAGAACGGAAUUCCUAGUGUAGCGGUGAAAUGCGUAGAGAUUAGGAAGAACACCAGUGGCGAAGGCGGUUCUCUGGACUGUAACUGACGCUGAGGCACGAAAGCGUGGGUAGCAAACAGGAUUAGAUACCCUGGUAGUCCACGCCGUAAACGAUGAGUACUAGGUGUAGGAGGUAUCGACCCCUUCUGUGCCGCAGUAAACACAAUAAGUACUCCGCCUGGGAAGUACGAUCGCAAGAUUAAAACUCAA
rnacentral:rRNA from 1 species